rnacentral:rRNA from 4 species
CGGUGACGUUGUGAGAAGUUCAUUAAACCUUAUCAUUUAGAGGAAGGAGAAGUCGUAACAAGGUUUCCGUAGGUGAACCUGCGGAAGGAUCAUUG